rnacentral:tRNA from 1 species
AGCGGAGGAGAGCAGUUUGGUAGCUCACGAGGCUCAUAACUUUGAGGUCACGGGUUCGAUUCCCGUCUCCGCAC